GCUGGGUGUGGUGGCGGGCGCCUGUAGUCCCAGCUACUCAGGAGGCUGAGGCAGGAGAAUCACUUGAACCCAGGAGGCAGAGGUUGCAGUGAGCCGAGAUCACACCACUGCACUCCAACCUGGGUGACAGAGUGAGACUCUGUCUCAA
rnacentral:SRP_RNA from 1 species